rnacentral:tRNA from 1 species
CCUGGUGGCUCAGACGGUAAAGCGUCUGCCUAAAAUGCAGGACACCUGGGUUCAACCCCUGCAUCGGGA